ensembl:lncRNA
AGAAAAAGAGGAAGGGGACAGCAAAACCAACCACAAGUAUCGCAGUACUGAGCCUUAAGAGCGAGCAGAGAUGAAGACUGGCAAACUACCUGGGUCUCUCCAGCCAAUUAGAGCCCAUCUGCACAGCACACACCAUGCAGGCCAGGCUGAAGCCAGCCUCUGUAGGGGACCAGCCAGCCUAGUCAGGCUGCUGAAGGGCUCAGUGGUGGCUAAGGCUGUCUGGUCUGGGCCCAAAAUAUCUGCUUCCAUAACCGCCCAUCUGCCCGUGGCUUGGCCUGGUACACUUUCA